CGCGGGGUAGAGCAGUUGGCAGCUCGUCGGGCUCAUAACCCGAAGGUCGCAGGUUCGAGUCCUGCCCCCGCCACCA
rnacentral:tRNA from 1 species